UAUUGCAAUUUCCACUUUUUUGCCCACGUCGUAAAAAUUGUCAUAAAAAAAUUAUUUCAAAUAAACACGGAAACUGCCGUGUACAGUGGCCUUAAACGUUUCAAGCGUUCAUUAGCUGUCAAGGGAAGGAGUAGGACAUCUCUUUCUUUUCACCAAACGUUUAUCCACAUGUUAAUAUUUUGUUAGAAGCAUUUGUGUCAUGGCGGUUUGUGGGUUAGUUAGAAAUGGUGCAGUUCUGGUAAUUCUUCAGUUUUUCAUUAAAAAUGUCAGUAAAAGUGCAGUGAAGGUCAUUUUAGUGAAGUUAACGUGGUUAUCAGUGUUAAUGAAAGUUGAAAUUCGCCUAAAUAGUGCGGGAUAGGAGUGUAAAGUGUAAGUUAACAGUGUCAAGGCUGGACAACGGUUUCGUUUAGUGAAGUGUGAUAGUGGUGUGUGGUGUUCGCUAAAUGGCAAUCACCGGGUGACCGAAUAUAGUUAAAAGUAUGUUCUUCCUUGUAUAGCCUUGCAAGCGGUGGCACAGCAGAUAAAUGAUAAAAUGAUAUCAUGACAGAAAAUGUAUUUAAUCGCAUUGCUGCGUUUAAUGCGAUGUUCACCAACCUGCAGAAUUUGGUUCCCAGUUCCAUGCUAACAACAGUGAGUAAUGUUAUAAAAUAAGUGAACCUGUUGCGAAAACACUGAGGUAAGUUGAAAAACGAAUUUAAUGUAUUUGUAUUGAUUAUGUUUUGGGUAUGAUUGGCGCUAUUACCGUUUUUAUGCGUAGCCUUGCGGGUUGACCUACUUUCUCAUGCUUAAAUGCUUCAGACAGAACGUGGACAAUUCAACAAUUUGUCAUGCAACAUGCAACAAUCCUUUCGGUUUCAUGCAUGUUCGCGCAAUUAUGCAGCUCAUGGAACCUAACGCCUCGUGACGGUUCGCACUGGCGUAGAGUGUUCGUUUGUACUUUCGAUAUCGAUAUUUCCUGCGUUUUGCCUGGUAGCAUACAACAGUGUGGCGCUGUACUUGUUUUUUUCGGUAUUACGAUCGGUGUCGUAGUAUGUUUUGGUCUGGUCCCGUUUUUUAAAUGCUCACUUCCUGGCUUUUUAAUUUAUUUUGGUAAUGGUACAUUUAUAUCAACAUACCCGUAGUAUUUAGUAUUUAUUUAGAUUUGAAGUCUGCCAUUAACCCGCUAAACAAGACGCCACGUACAUAAUAUACCCUACUGAAGAUAGCGUAAUCUCUCCCUAAAUCUUGCUAAGUUUUCGUUGGAAUUGAAGUGUACGAAUAACAUAUUAAAUACUACGGACAUAGAUGAGAUCGGGUCAUUUGCUCCAUAUUGCGUAUUUCUGAAUUUAAGGUAUAUAAAUUGCCUGUGUCUCGAUAAAAGCCUGUUUACAUUUAAAUGUAUACACUCUAAUAUUUCUGGGGUAUCUAUUGUUCCACGAAGUAUCCUUGCCACAAAUAACAAUUUCAGUUUUGUGUUCUAAUUUUUGUCCUUUAAUGAAAUAGUCUGUUUUAACAAUAGCACGUGCACGUGUAAAUGACAUGAUACAACAUUUUUCGACGCAUAGACAUAACAGAUUUUGAUACAGACUACAGACUUAAACGAUCAAGAGCUGUUUGAAGGAGGGCUGGACUUCUAUCGUUGCGGUCAAGAGAUGCAUAUAUUUUAAGGUCGUCUGCAUACAAUAAGAAAGACACACAGAGCGUUACGGUACGAAACCGUGCAGUGCUAAAGUACUGGUGUGACGCUCGCAUUAUAAUAUCGUGCAGUAUUAUUGCCAUGGUAGUUUCCUUAACCUACGAUACUACUACAGGUCUCGUCGUCUGCUUUCUAUCUUGGACGUUCCUGGUGUUCUGUUGCAAUACGCUGUACAGCAGCAGCUGUAUGGUUGAUUAUGUAGUAUCUACUACAAUAUAAUCACGCUAGGCGAAUUAAUCCAGUAGUUCAUACCGUCGCGUCAAA